rnacentral:rRNA from 1 species
CUGAGGGUGGGGGUGAAAGGCUAAUCAAACUUGGAGAUAGCUCGUACUCCCCGAAAUGCAUUUAGGUGCAGCCUUGACUUAUACUGGCAUGAGGUAGAGCGACUGAUAAGAUGCGAGGGCUUCACCGCCUAUCAAGUCUUGACAAACUCCGAAUGCGUGUCAGUUCUAUGUCAGGAGUGAGGGCAUGGGUGCUAAGGUCCAUGUCCUAAAGGAGAACAAUCCGGACCAACAGCUAAGGUCCCGAAAUGAAUACUAAGUUGAACUAACGAAGUCAGAUUGCUAAGACAGCUAGGAUGUUGGCUUGGAAGCAGCCAUUCAUUUAAAGAGUGCGUAACAGCUCACUAGUCGAGGAGUUUGGCGUGGAUAAUAAUCGGGCAUUAAGUAUCUUACCGAAGCUAUGGGAUCAUUAAUGAUCGGUAGGGGAGCAUUCCACUCCGCGUCGAAGGUGAAGCGUGAGCUUUGCUGGAGCGUGUGGAAAAGCAAAUGUAGGUAUAAGUAACGAUAAAGGGGGUGAGAAACCCCCUCGCCGAAAGACUAAGGUUUCCUGAUCAACGCUAAUCGGAUCAGGGUUAGUCGGGUCCUAAGGCUCAGCCGAAGGGUGAGGCCGAUGGCAGAACAGGUUAAUAUUCCUGUACUACCUUAAGGAGUGACGUGGAGACGGAGUCGUGACAACGCCGCGGACUGACGGAAUAGUCCGUUGAAGGGUGUAGAUGUUGAUUGUGGCAGGCAAAUCCACCACGAGAGUCGAACCUGAUAGUAUACCAAUUCCUUCGGGAAACGGUAAUAGUGCGUGUAAACAUACUCCCGAGAAAAUCCGCUAAACUUAAUCCUUGAGGUACCCGUACCGCAAACGGACACACGUAGUCGGGUUGAAUAUACUAAGGCGCUUGAGUGAUUCACGGUUAAGGAACUAGGCAAAUUGACCCUGUAACUUCGGGAUAAAGGGUCCCAACGAGAGUUGGGCGCAGAGAAUAGGUCCAGGCAACUGUUUAACAAAAACACAGGGCUGUGCCAAAUUGAAAGAUCACGUAUACAGCCUGACACCUGCCCGGUGCUGGAAGGUUAAGAGGAGAUGUCAUCGCAAGAGAAGCAUUGAAUUGAAGCCCCAGUAAACGGCGGCCGUAACUAUAACGGUCCUAAGGUAGCGAAAUUCCUUGUCGGGUAAGUUCCGACCUGCACGAAUGGUGUAAUGAUCUGGACACUGUCUCAACCGUGAGCUCAGUGAAAUUGUAGUAUCGGUGAAGAUGCCGAUUACCCGCGAUGGGACGAAAAGACCCCGUGAACCUUUACUAUAGCUUAACAUUGAAUUUGGGUAAUUGAUGUGUAGGAUAGGCCGGAGACUUUGAAGCGCAGACGCCAGUUUGUGUGGAGUCGCUGUUGAAAUACGGCCCUUUGAUUAUUUGAGUUCUAACCCGUUGUAACGGGGACACUGUUUGGUGGGUAGUUUGACUGGGGUGGUCGCCUCCAAAAGUGUAACGGAGGCUUCUAAAGGUGCCCUCACGACGAUUGGUAACCGUCGGCAGAGUGUAAUGGCAUAAGGGCGCUUGACUGGGAGACUUACAAGUCGAUCAGGUAGGAAACUAGAGCAUAGUGAUCCGGUGUUUCUGUAUGGAAAGGACAUCGCUCAAAGGAUAAAAGGUACUCCGGGGAUAACAGGCUGAUCCCUCCCAAGAGCUCAUAUCGACGGAGGGGUUUGGCACCUCGAUGUCGGCUCGUCACAUCCUGGGGCUGGAGAAGGUCCCAAGGGUUGGGCUGUUCGCCCAUUAAAGUGGCACGCGAGCUGGGUUCAGAACGUCGUGAGACAGUUCGGUCUCUAUCUAUCGUGGGCGUAUGAAAUUUGCGUGGCUCUGACACUAGUACGAGAGGACCGUGUUGGACUGACCUCUGGUUUACCAGUUGUGCCGCCAGGUGCAUUGCUGGGUAUCUAAGUCGGGAUUGGAUAAGUGCUGAAAGCAUCUAAGUACGAAGCCAGCCACAAGAUUAGAUUUCUUAGGGUCGUCAAAGACGAUGACGUUGAUAGGAUGCAGGUGUACAGGUGGUAACAUCAUAGCCGAGCAUUACUAAUUGCCCGUCCACUUUCUUUC